rnacentral:tRNA from 1 species
UUCCAAAUAGUUUAAAAAGAAUAGGAUUUUGAAGAAAUUUAGGUAGUUGUAAACUUUUGGAAG